rnacentral:rRNA from 1 species
UGGGGAAUAUUGCACAAUGGGCGCAAGCCUGAUGCAGCCAUGCCGCGUGUAUGAAGAAGGCCUUCGGGUUGUAAAGUACUUUCAGCGGGGAGGAAGGGAGUAAAGUUAAUACCUUUGCUCAUUGACGUUACCCGCAGAAGAAGCACCGGCUAACUCCGUGCCAGCAGCCGCGGUAAUACGGAGGGUGCAAGCGUUAAUCGGAAUUACUGGGCGUAAAGCGCACGCAGGCGGUUUGUUAAGUCAGAUGUGAAAUCCUCGGGCUCAACCUGGGAACUGCAUCUGAUACUGGCAAGCUUGAGUCUCGUAGAGGGGGGUAGAAUUCCAGGUGUAGCGGUGAAAUGCGUAGAGAUGUGGAGGAAUACCGGUGGCGAAGGCGGCCCCCUGGACAAAGACUGACGCUCAGGUGCGAAAGCGUGGGGAGCAAACAGG